AUUCCCCUAGUAACGGCGAGUGAAGCGGGAAGAGCUCAAAUUUGAAAUCUGGUAGCCUUCGGUUGCCCGAGUUGUAAUCUAGAGAAGUGUUUUCCGUGCCGGCCCAUGUACAAGUCCCUUGGAACAGGGCGUCAUAGAGGGUGAGAAUCCCGUCCUUGACAUGGACCCCCGGUGCUUUGUGAUACACUUUCAACGAGUCGAGUUGUUUGGGAAUGCAGCUCAAAAUGGGUGGUGAAUUCCAUCUAAAGCUAAAUAUUGGCGAGAGACCGAUAGCGAACAAGUACCGUGAGGGAAAGAUGAAAAGCACUUUGGAAAGAGAGUUAAACAGUACGUGAAAUUGUUGAAAGGGAAACGAUUGAAGUCAGUCAUGCUCUUGGGACUUACCUCCCUUGAGUGGGGUCAACAUCAGUUUUGAUCGAUGGAUAAAGGCACGGGGAAGGUAGCACUCUCGGGUGAACUUAUAGCCUCGCGUCAUAUACAUAUACAUUGAUUGGGACUGAGGAACGCAGCAUGCCUUUUGGCCGGGAUUCGUCCACGUACAUGCUUAGGAUGUUGACAUAAUGGCUUUAAACGACCC
rnacentral:rRNA from 2 species